GGCGAGAUGGCCGAGCGGUCUAAGGCGCCAGACUACGGACCAGCGCUUUCUGAAGUGGAGUGCAUCUUCGAAUCCUACUCUCAUCA